ACCCGGGCUGCGCUGAUCUUUGCAUUCAAGCAUUCAUCCGCAACACAGGACAAAAGACAUCGCCUGCCUGGAAAGGCGAAGUCGCCCCGCCAGAAGUCCGAAGCUGCAGUGAGGUGUGGCUUCUAAGCACUGAUCCAUCCUAACAUGUCCCGAGGCCGUCAGGCCUCCUAGUUUAGAUAGCAGCAGGCACAACAGCCUUCACAGGAACUGUUGCCUGCCUUUGUGCCCAGCUCUAGCCAGAACCUGCGCAGGCUGUCAUCCUUCCACCCCGUAAGGAGAAACGGAGGCCAACCCUCAGCUCCUGUCCUGUUUCAGCAUCAAUUCCCAAAAGGAGCCAUUUCUUUCUUCAGGAUGAGGCUUCUGCAGAACUGUUCAGGUAACAAGUGAAACCUAAUCUUGU
rnacentral:lncRNA from 1 species